UGGUGAGCAGAUUGCGGGAUAGAGGGCUUGGGUUGGAAGGCUUGAAACAGGAUGCUCGGCUAGGGCAAGUUGGUGGAGAUUAGGUUGAGGCCAGUAGUGAGGUCUUGGCUUAAUACUGGAGGAAGAAGGAGGUUGGUUGGGUUGCUUGCUGCUUCGGGCGUGGCUAUAAGUGGAGGUCGAGGCAACAUCGGUUUGUAGAGUUUAGGAACAGCUAUGAGAAGUGGAAGAAGAGGAAUGGGUCUCGUGGAUUUUGGCAUGGGUAGAUCGGACGGGACAGGGAAGUUCAUUUGGUUGGGAAGGAAUGUAGUUUGGAUGUUGGCUGGCUUCGGUAGAGUUAGGAGCGACUGUCUUUGGGAGCAUGGGAGAAGCGAAGAGGCAAACAAAUGAAGCUUUGGUUUGGCUCUUGUUUUAAAGUUGCGAAUGAGAGUGCAGUUAAGGCAAGAUUUCAGGAAAUGACACGAUUGACGUCGAAGGAGCAAUAACUGAGCAGAAUUUCAGGUGGGAUUCAUGGAGAUUUUCGACGGGAUAGGAGUUCCAGUUGUCUCAGGAAAAUGAGUGCCACAAUGCCAUGCCUUUCUAUGCCUCAGCAUCGGAUUCCUAAUUUGAGCACCACAGUGCUCAAAAUUAUGGAGCACCAUGGAGGAGCAAUUACCAACAUAUGGAGCUGUGCUGAUUUAGUCAAAAAAAUGUACCGAUUCAGUAAAAAAGAUACACAAUUUUUAUUAGUGACUGUGCCAUUAGCUAACAUCAAAGUGGAGAAGACUUUACAAUGUUAAGGUGUUAGUUUUUUUUUAUAAUCAUGAUGCCACCAUAUCGAGCGCUGCAUUUCUUAAACUAGACCUUGUACUAAUUAGAAAUAGUUUUUUAGUUCUGUUAUUUUGGGUGUUUUAUCACUUGAGUGAAUUCUUAUAAUUUUUAGUGUGUUUCUUUAGUUCCCCUUAGAGUAAAGUGUAAGGGAGGCUAGAGAAGUGUAAGAUACUUUCCUAUUGGAGAUCUUAGCCUAUUCAUGUAAGUAACUCUAUGAUUGAUAAAAGGAGGGUGGAGAAAAUCGUUUGAUCCUUCUGGGUGACAAUUUUCUUUUUUACUUCUCUUA